GUGAGUAACACGUGGGCAACCUGCCCUGAUAGUGGGGGAUAACANUUGGAAACAGGUGCUAAUACCGCWUAAUAANNCANACCNGCAUGGUCUUCGUUUCAAAGAUGGUUUCAAGCUGUCACUNCNGGAUGGNCCCGCGGUGCAUUAGCUAGUUGGUAAGGUAACGGCUUACCAAGGCGAUGAUGCAUAGCCGAGUUGAGAGACUGAUCGGCCACAUUGGNACUGAGACACGGUCCAUACUCCUACGGGAGGCAGCAGUAGGGAAUCUUCCACAAUGGACGCAAGNCUGAUGGAGCAACCCCGCGUGAGUGAAGAAGGNUUUCGGNUCGUAAANCUCUGUUGUUGAUGAAGAACGUGNGUGAUAGUAACUGUCCAUGCAGUGACGGUAUUCAACCAGAAAGUCACGGCUAACUACGUGCCAGCAGCCGCGUAAUACGUAGGUGGCAAGCGUUAUCCGGAUUUAUUGGGCGUAAAGCGAGCGCAGGCGGUUGAAUUAAGUCUGAUGUGAAAGCCUUCGGCUUAACCGAGAAGUGCAUCGGAAACUGUUUGACUUGAGUGCAGAAGAGGACAGUGGAACUCCAUGUGUAGCGGUGGAAUGCGUAGAUAUAUGGAAGAACACCAGUGGCGAAGGCGGCUGUCUGGUCUGCAACUGACGCUGAGGCUCGAAAGCAUGGGUAGCGAACAGGAUUAGAUACCCUGGUAGUCCAUGCCGUAAACGAUGAGUGCUANGUGUUGGANGGUUUCCGCCUUUCAGUGCUGCAGCUAACGCAUUAAGCACUCCGCCUGGGGAGUACGACCGCAAGGUUGAAACUCAAAGGAAUUGACGGGGGCCCGCACAAGCGGUGGAGCAUGUGGUUUAAUUCGAAGCUACGCGAAGAACCUUACCAGGUCUUGACAUCUNGNGCNANCUUAAGAGAUUCAGACGUUCCCUUCGGGGACGCUNUGACAGGUGGUGCAUGGUCGUCGUCAACUCGUGUCGUGAGAUGUUGGGUUAAAUCCCGCAACGAGCGCAACCCUUGUUACUAAUUGCCAACAUUCAAUUUGGCACUCUUAUGAGACUGCCGUGACCAACCCGAAGAAAGUGGGGACNAACUUAAAUUAUUAUGCCCCUUAUUACCUGGGCUACACACCUGCUACAAUNGGCCGUUCAACCAAUACCUAACCCCCCAAGGCCAGCCAAUCUUUUUAAGACCUUUUCAAUUCGGACUGUGGACUGCAACUUCGACUGACCCAAGUUGGAUCGCUUGUUAAUCCCGGAUCAACCAUGGCCCCGGUGAAACGUUUCCCGGCCUGUCACACCCGCCGUUACACAUUGGGAAUUUUGCAAUGCCCAAAAGUCCGGUGGCCUAACCCUUUUUGG
rnacentral:rRNA from 1 species